rnacentral:misc_RNA from 1 species
AAGUCGUAACAAGGUUUCCCAGCAUAAGUCUUGAGGAAUAAUGAUUCUUCCGUAGUGAUACUUAUAGAAGCCUUUGCAACCUCGCAAGAGGGAUGUUCCAGCGACUGUAAACAAUUGGUCCUUAAUGCAAGUCAGCCUUUGUGUUGGCGACACUUUCGAAUUGACGGGGACGCCCUAAAGCCUAUGACACCAACCUAUGAGGGAAACCUAUGUAGGGGCACAUGCUAACAACAUGUGGUAAGGUAAAAGAGCAUAGGAUACUUUCAAGCCUGGCUUGAAGACUAUGGGUAAUCCGCAGCGAAGCCUCUAAGUCUUUAUGAUAUGAGGAACGUUCACAGACUAAGUGGAAGUGGGUGGGACUUGUCCUGCUUAAGAUAUAGUCGGGCCUCUGAGGAAACUCAGAGGGUAAAUCACUGCACUGGUAUUCAGGAUUCAUUAGGAAUCUCUGAUUGUCAGCUUGAGAAAACGUUCCGUAGGUGAACCUGCGGAAGGAUCAUCAUUGAAUAAGCCGGCUUCAUGCCGGUAGAGUGCACACUCACGCCGCCCUUGUGGUGGCUACUCUCAAACCCAAACUAGUUUGUGUAUGUGAAAUUUUAUAACAAAAUACAA